UGAGUACGGCGGAACACGUGAAAUUCCGUCGGAAUCCGGGAGGACCAUCUCCCAAGGCUAAAUACUCCCUAGUGACCGAUAGUGAACCAGUACCGUGAGGGAAAGGUGAAAAGCACCCCGGAAGGGGAGUGAAACAGUUCCUGAAACCGUGUGCCUACAAGUAGUUAGAGCCCGUUAAUGGGUGAUAGCGUGCCUUUUGUAGAAUGAACCGGCGAGUUACGAUUUGUUGCAAGGUUAAGCGGAAAAAGCGGAGCCGUAGCGAAAGCGAGUCUGAAUAGGGCGCAUAAGUAACAGGUCGUAGACCCGAAACCAGGUGAUCUACCCAUGUCCAGGAUGAAGGUAAGGUAAUACUUACUGGAGGUCCGAACCCACGCACGUUGAAAAGUGCGGGGAUGAGGUGUGGGUAGCGGAGAAAUUCCAAUCGAACUUGGAGAUAGCUGGUUCUCUCCGAAAUAGCUUUAGGGCUAGCCUCGAGGUAAAGAGUCAUGGAGGUAGAGCACUGUUUGGACUAGGGGCCCUUCUCGGGUUACCGAAUUCAGAUAAACUCCGAAUGCCAUGUACUUAUACUCGGGAGUCAGACUGCGAGUGAUAAGAUCCGUAGUCGAAAGGGAAACAGCCCAGACCACCAGUUAAGGUCCCCAAAUAUAUGUUAAGUGGAAAAGGAUGUGGGGUUGCUUAGACAACCAGGAUGUUGGCUUAGAAGCAGCCACCAUUGAAAGAGUGCGUAAUAGCUCACUGGUCGAGUGACCCCGCGCCGAAAAUGUACCGGGGCUAAACAUAUUACCGAAACUGUGGAUGAACCUCUUUAGAGGUUCGUGGUAGGAGAGCGUUCUAAGGGCGGUGAAGUCAGACCGGAAGGACUGGUGGAGCGCUUAGAAGUGAGAAUGCCGGUAUGAGUAGCGAAAG
rnacentral:rRNA from 1 species